rnacentral:rRNA from 1 species
AUAGCCCGGCGAAAGCCGGAUUAAUACCGCAUACGAUCUACGGAUGAAAGCGGGGGACCUUCGGGCCUCGCGCUAUAGGGUUGGCCGAUGGCUGAUUAGCUAGUUGGUGGGGUAAAGGCCUACCAAGGCGACGAUCAGUAGCUGGUCUGAGAGGACGACCAGCCACACUGGGACUGAGACACGGCCCAGACUCCUACGGGAGGCAGCAGUGGGGAAUUUUGGACAAUGGGCGAAAGCCUGAUCCAGCAAUGCCGCGUGUGUGAAGAAGGCCUUCGGGUUGUAAAGCACUUUUGUCCGGAAAGAAAUCCUUGGCUCUAAUACAGUCGGGGGAUGACGGUACCGGAAGAAUAAGCACCGGCUAACUACGUGCCAGCAGCCGCGGUAAUACGUAGGGUGCGAGCGUUAAUCGGAAUUACUGGGCGUAAAGCGUGCGCAGGCGGUUUGCUAAGACCGAUGUGAAAUCCCCGGGCUCAACCUGGGAACUGCAUUGGUGACUGGCAGGCUAGAGUAUGGCAGAGGGGGGUAGAAUUCCACGUGUAGCAGUGAAAUGCGUAGAGAUGUGGAGGAAUACCGAUGGCGAAGGCAGCCCCCUGGGCCAAUACUGACGCUCAGC